rfam:Schistosoma haematobium scaffold2353_3, whole genome shotgun sequence.
AUUCAGCUGACGAGUCCCACAUAGGAAGAAACGUCCCUUCUGGAU